rnacentral:misc_RNA from 1 species
CCAACAAAAAUGGACUGGUUAUUAUUGAGAUAUGUAUAAUUUUAUGUGCUGGACUAGAUUAGCUGCGUAGUAGUAAUACUUGUAUGUGAACAUCAGUGUGUGGAAGUAUAUGUGUGCAUCUCGAAAACAAAUGAAUGUAAACAGUACAGUCGGUUAACAGCCGAAUAUGGAAGAAAGUGAUGAGACGCGUGCAAGUUAGCUGCGUAGUAGUAAUACUUAUAUGUGAAUAUCAGUGUGUGGAAGUAUAUGUGUGCAUCUCGAAAACAAAUGAAUGUAAACAGUACAGUCGGUUAAC